GAUGAACGCUGGCGGCGUGCUUAAUACAUGCAAGUCGAACGGAAAGGCCGAAGCUUGCUUCGGUACUCGAGUGGCGAACGGGUGAGUAACACGUGGGUGAUCUGCCCUGUACUUCGGGAUAAGCUUGGGAAACUGGGUCUAAUACCGGAUAUGACGAUCUCUUGGAUGGGGUUGUGGAAAGCUUUUGCGGUAUGGGAUGAGCUCGCGGCCUAUCAGCUUGUUGGUGGGGUAAUGGCCUACCAAGGCGUCGACGGGUAGCCGGCCUGAGAGGGUGUACGGCCACAUUGGGACUGAGAUACGGCCCAGACUCCUACGGGAGGCAGCAGUGGGGAAUAUUGCACAAUGGGCGCAAGCCUGAUGCAGCGACGCCGCGUGGGGGAUGACGGCCUUCGGGUUGUAAACUCCUGUCGCAAUCGACGAAGCCUUUUGGUGACGGUAGGUUGAGAAGAAGCACCGGCUAACUACGUG
rnacentral:rRNA from 1 species